AUGUGCUCAGGGGCUACAUCAACAAACAUCCUGACGAUGCUCUUAUCAUCGCUGGGGACUUUAACAAAGCCAACCUCAGGCAGUUUAUGCCGAACUUUUAUCAACAUGUAUCCUGUCCAACCAGAGGACCGAAUACACUGGAUCAUUGCUACUCUGUUUAAGAAUGCCUUCAAAUCUCGCUCACUACCGGCUUUUGGCAGAUCGGACCAUGCUGCCAUUUUCCUCACACCGGAAUAUAAACAAAGGCUCGUUCAAGAACCCCCAGUGCAGAGGGUGGUGACGCACUGGUCCGCCCACUCAGAAGCCAUGCUACAGGCGGCUCUUGAUGACGUAGACUGGGACAUGUUCCGAGCGAGUUCCUCUGACAUCAGCGAGUUCGCAGAUGUAGCAUUAAGCUUUGUAAAUACGCUAGCUGAGCAAACAACUGAAACCGUAACUAUAAGGUCUUUCUCUAAUCAGAAACCGUGGGUGGACAGAACAAUUUGUGCUGCAGUAAACAAACACACUGCUGCAUACAACGCUGGUCUUUUUUCGGGAAACAUGAGUGAGUACAAAGCAUCGUGCUAUGCUCUCCGAUGUGCAGUAAGAGCUGCCAAACUCCGAUACAGGGAACAAAUAGAGUCUCAUUUUCAGCUAAAUGACUCCCUACGCAUGUGGCAGGGACUAAGAACCAUCUGUGCCUUUGGAAACAAAUCCUCUGCAGAGGUGAGAGCAGAUCCGUCACUGGCUGAUGAGCUAAACUCUUUCUAUGGCCGCUUUGAAAACAAUCUAAGCAGCGCGAGUCUGAUGAUCAGCGUGUCGGGAAGCGGCAGUCAGAGCAGCGAUAAUCAUGUAAUCACCAUCUAUAAUCAUGUAAUCACUCUAAAGCGAGUGAACGUUAUGAAAGCAGCAGGUCCUGAUGGGAUUUCUGGCCGUGUUCUGAGGUCCUGCACUGAUCAACUCACUGGUUUGUUUACAUCCAUCUUUAAUGAGUCUCUUGCUACCUCGGUGGCUCCCACCACCUUUAAAAAAUCUGUCAUCAUCCCUGUGCCUAAGAACAAUAAACUCUCUUGUCUGAAUGACUAUCUCCCAGUUGCCCUCACAUCAAUAGUCAUGAAGGUCUUUGAGGGACUGGUUAAAAACUAA
ensembl:lncRNA